AAACUAUGUUGCGGACAACUGGAACAUAAAUUUUUAAAUCUCUUCCAAUAAUCGUAGAGGGUCUCUUCUUCAUUUUGUUGAAUUCUUAAAAUGCUUCUCCUUAGUUC